rnacentral:rRNA from 1 species
UCCUUAGUACGAGAGGACCGGGAUGGACAUACCCCUGGUGGACCAGUUGUCGUGCCAACGGCAUUGCUGGGUAGCUAUGUAUGGACGGGAUAAGUGCUGAAAGCAUCUAAGCAUGAAGCCCCCCUCAAGAUGAGAUUUCCCCAUUAGAUCCCUCAGAGAUGAUGAGGUGGAUAGGUUCGGCGUGUACGUGUGGUGACACAUUCAGCGGACGAAUACUAAUCGAUCGAUGACUUAUUCAAG